rnacentral:miRNA from 1 species
GCAGACACAUCCCAGCCAAUCUGCAGCAGACCCUCCCUCCCAGACCCUCCCACCUCCUGGACAGCAUCCAUUUUGAAACUGCCUUCAAAAUGGAUGCUGUCCAGGAGGUGGGAGGGUCUGGGAGGGAGGGUCUGCUGCAGAUUGGCCGGGAUGUGUCUG